rnacentral:rRNA from 1 species
AGUGAACGCUGGCGGUAGGCCUAACACAUGCAAGUCGAACGGCAGCACAGUAAGAGCUUGCUCUUACGGGUGGCGAGUGGCGGACGGGUGAGGAAUACAUCGGAAUCUACUUUUUCGUGGGGGAUAACGUAGGUAAACUUACGCUAAUACCGCAUACGACCUACGGGUGAAAGCAGGGGAUCUUCGGACCUUGCGCGAUUGAAUGAGCCGAUGUCGGAUUAGCUAGUUGGCGGGGUAAAGGCCCACCAAGGCGACGAUCCGUAGCUGGUCUGAGAGGAUGAUCAGCCACACUGGAACUGAGACACGGUCCAGACUCCUACGGGAGGCAGCAGUGGGGAAUAUUGGACAAUGGGCGCAAGCCUGAUCCAGCCAGACUGCGUGGGUGAAGAAGGCCUUCGGGUUGUAAAGCCCUUUUGUUGGGAAAGAAAAGCAGCAGGUUAAUACCCCGCUGUUCUGACGGUACCCAAAGAAUAAGCACCGGCUAACUUCGUG